AUUGAACGCUGGCGGCAGGCCUAACACAUGCAAGUCGAAUGGUAACAGGAAACAGCUUGCUGUUUCGCUGACGAGUGGCGGACGGGUGAGUAAUGUCUGGGAAACUGCCUGAUGGAGGGGGAUAACUACUGGAAACGGUAGCUAAUACCGCAUAACGUCGCAAGACCAAAGAGGGGGACCUUCGGGCCUCUUGCCAUCAGAUGUGCCCAGAUGGGAUUAGCUAGUAGGUGGGGUAACGGCUCACCUAGGCGACGAUCCCUAGCUGGUCUGAGAGGAUGACCAGCCACACUGGAACUGAGACGCGGUCCAGACUCCUACGGGAGGCAGCAGUGGGGAAUAUUGCACAAUGGGCGCAAGCCUGAUGCAGCCAUGCCGCGUGUAUGAAGAAGGCCUUCGGGUUGUAAAGUACUUUCAGCGGGGAGGAAGGGAGUAAAGUUAAUACCUUUGCUCAUUGACGUUACCCGCAGAAGAAGCACCGGCUAACUCGGUG
rnacentral:rRNA from 1 species